CUUGAAGGUGGCACUGGUUCGGGAGUCGGGGGUUGAUUCCACAUAUCUCCGUGGUUUCCCUCUUCCAGUGUAAUGCUGAGUCAUUGAGUAGCUCUAAGAAUGAUGGAGCAUUGUACGUCUCUUGGAGAGCGGAUCAGUGCUGACUUUAAAGUGCAGAAAAUGUGGUGCCUGUCGUAACUUAUACCCUGUGUCCUCUUUGCACUUCAGAUCUUGUGUAUUUUUUCCUAA